AACCCCUGGGCGGAGUGAAAGCGAAAGUGCGUUUGACGCACCGAGGUGAGAGCGGGUGCGAGCUCGCCUGCGCAUCAUCGACCGAUCCGCACCACUUGUGGUGGGAUUUGAGUGAGAGUGUGCCUGUUGCGACCCGAAAGAUGGUGAACUAUGCCCGAACAGGGUGAAGCCAGGGGAAACCCUGGUGGAAGCCCGAAGCGAUUCUGACGUGCAAAUCGAUCGUCUGAUUUGGGUAUAGGGGCGAAAGACUAAUCGAACCAUCUAGUAGCUGGUUCCCUCCGAAGUUUCCCUCAGGAUAGCUGGAACCCGUGGUAUGCAGUUUUAUCAGGUAAAGCGAAUGAUUAGAGGUCUUGGGGUUGAAACAACCUCAACCUAUUCUCAAACUUUAAAUAGGUAAGACGUCCGACUUGCUUGAGUGAAGCCGGACCUCGAAUGCAGGGUUCCUAGUGGGCCAUUUUUGGUAAGCAGAACUGGCGAUGCGGGAUGAACCGAAAGCGGGGUUAAGGUGCCAAAGUCGACGCUCAUCAGACCCCACAAA
rnacentral:rRNA from 1 species